GUCGAACGGAUACUAAAAUAGCUUGCUAUUUGGCGUCAAGUGGCGAACGGGUGAAUAACGCGUACGAAUCUACCCAGUAUAGGGGGAUAGCCCGAAGAAAUUCGGAUUAAUACCGCAUAAUCUCUACGGAGUAGAGAAGGCAUCUUUACAAUGCUUUUACUAUUGGAUGAGCCUGCGUUAGAUUAGUUAGUUGGUAGGGUAAAAGCCUACCAAGGCGACGAUCUAUAGCUGGUUUUACGAGAAUGAUCAGCCACACUGGAACUGAGACACGGUCCAGACUCCUACGGGAGGCAGCAGUGAAGAAUAUUGGACAAUGGGGGAAACCCUGAUCCAGCAAUGUUGCGUGUGUGAAGAAGGUCCGAGGAUUGUAAAGCACUUUCAGUAAGCAAGAAAAAUGUAAAUCUAAUAGAUUUGCAUGUUGACCACUUAUAGAAGAAGCACCGGCUAACUCCGUGCCAGCAGCCGCGGUAAUACGGAGGGUGCGAGCGUUAAUCGGAAUUACUGGGCGUAAAGGGUAAGUAGGCGGUUUAUAAAGUCACAUGUGAAAGCCCUAGGCU
rnacentral:rRNA from 1 species